rnacentral:miRNA from 1 species
UCCCUGUGACAGUGAGCGGCUGUAAACAUCCUCGACUGGAAGCUGUGAGUCUGCAGACGGGCUUUCAGUCGGAUGUUUGCAGCCGCUGACUGCCCUCUUGCGUCUGG